AUGCGGCUCUUCGACGGGGUCUACUCCUCGUCGGCCGAUCUCUCCUGCAUCAGCAGGGCGCACAUUGUGCUGUUGCCCAAAGGCGAAGGUGUUCUCUCGCCCGCGGGCUUCCGGCCGGUCUCGCUCCAGAACUGUGAUGUCAAGUUGGUCUGCAAAGCCCUGACUACCAGACUUCAGCAUCAAAUCCCGGGGCUAAUUGACCCCGACCAGUCUGGCUUCAUCAAAGGGAGAAGCCUCUCCGAAAACUUCAUCUACGCUGCGGAGAUUGUGCAAUGUUGUGACUCCAGGAAGGCACCCUCUCUCGUCCUCAAGCUUGACUUCGUGAAGGCUUUCAACUCCAUCAGCUGGCAGAGCCUUCGGAGGAUCAUGGAGGUGCGGGGGUUCCCUGCGCGCUGGUGUGACUGGAUGGACGCCAUUUUCCGCUCCUCCAUGUCAGCGGUCCUUCUCAACAGGGUUCCCGGGCGCUGGAUCACGUGCAAGAAGGGGCGGCGCCAAGGCGACACGAUCUCCCCCUACCUCUUCCUGCUUAUGGCGGAUGUGCUACAACGGUUGAUC
rnacentral:rRNA from 1 species